rnacentral:rRNA from 1 species
AUACGUAGGGGGCGAGCGUUAUCCGGAAUUAUUGGGCGUAAAGCGCGCGCAGGCGGCUGAUUAAGUCAGGUGUGAAAGGCUGCGGCUCAACCGCAGAGCGGCACCUGAAACUGGUCAGCUUGAGUGCAGGAGAGGGGAGCGGAAUUCCCGGUGUAGCGGUGGAAUGCGUAGAGAUCGGGAGGAACACCAGUGGCGAAGGCGGCUCUCUGGCCUGUAACUGACGCUGAGGCGCGAAAGCGUGGGGAGCAAACAGGAUUAGAUACCCUGGUAGUCCACGCCAUAAACGAUGAGUGCUAGGUGUUGGGGGGCUACGCCCCUCAGUGCCGAAGGUAACCCAUUAAGCACUCCACCUGGGAAGUACGACCGCAAGGUUGAA